CCGAGAUGAUGCGAUCGUUUCGAAAAUUUGGCGGAAACCCCCAAAAUGUUGCGAAAGUGACAGAAUUUGAUUGGCUGCAAAGCAAGCGCACGAUUUCCACGAUAAUUUUGUUUUCGUGUUAAUGUCUUGAGAGUCUUGAAAGCAUGACUUGAUUUGGCAGAAAUACUGGCCAUGUGACAGUGUGGGCCACGUGUUGAAGGUCAGGAACAGUGGCUCAGGAAGUAGCAAGCAUUUCUAUUCCAUUUCAAAGUUGGAGCAUAACACGAGCCAUUGAGCUGUUGAGUGUCACUGCCAGAUAUGGACUUGGCUUCAUGGCUAAUCUUUGAAUUCCAGGUGUGAAGAUGGUUCAGUCAGCUGACCAAAUUGUCAGCCUAUGAACUUUUGAAGAAUAAUGCUAGGGGAUUGCAUUCAUAAAUCAUCAGUUUGUCUGCAGAAAACGAUAU